CGCCCGCUCCUCCUCCAAGUCAGUCCCGAGGUGUUUUGGGGCUGAGAGCCACCAAAAAGGGGCAUUUUCCCUAACAAGGCAAAGCUGAGUGAAAAGCACGAGCCUAACAAAAAAAUCCCUGCCCAGGGACUUAUCCAGCCAGGAAGGAACAGGGGAAUGUUGGGUGGUGAAACAAAGAAACCCACUGCUUCCAGACAUUCAGGACACAGGUGGAUCCCAUUGGUGCUUGAAUCCAAACACCAUCACCACUGGCCAAUUAAGAAACCACCCUUUGGCAGACAAAUCUCCAUAAGACAUUCCACAUGUUCACAACAGGUGCAGCAAGUGAAGGGCUGCACAGGGAUGUGGGGAUGCAGUCACAGCCCCUCACUGCAGGUCCCACUUGGGCCAGGUUUGGGGUCCCCAGGACCCUUUGUUCCUGCUCCUGCCCCCUUUACACCACCCACUGCCCAGCCUGUCAUGUAUGCAAGCAGAAAACCUGCAGGAACAAGCCCAAACCAAAAUUUGGGGUGUGGAUUUGCUCAUCCUCAGCCUAAGAGCGCUUUUCUGCCAGAGGACUCUCCUCCAGGUAUUGCUUUGUGCUGCUGUGAGGAGCACUCGAUGCUGCUGGGAGUGGCACUGGGAUGAUCCCACAGGAAUCACUGGACUGGGGAAUUUUUCAUAAUUCAAGACCUGAUUGUUGAGAGCAGAUGUGAUGCAGACACAACUGCAAGUAAACAGAAGCAGAAGUCAAGCCCAAGGUGAAGGCCAAGUACAGGCAGAUUUCAAGCCCAAGGAGCUGUCAUGGGGUUCUUCUUAACUUUUCCACUGAGGAACUCCUGAUGCAUUCUGUGACUGACCACUGGGGUUGUGAAGGGCAUCUCAGUUUGCAUCAGCCUUGGACGGGAGGUGAAUAAAUGCGAUUAUUCUUUUUUCAUUCUAAGAUCUUUUAGCAAAAUCACACAUUUGUUUUUCUCUGUUUUAAGCUUCCUGAGAGAUUUGUUGAGGCUUUAUUGAAA